rnacentral:rRNA from 1 species
UACAGAGGUCUCGAGCGUUAGGCGGAAUCACUGGGCUUAAAGCGUGUGUAGGUGGAUCGUUAAGUACCUUGUGAAAUCCCACGGCUUAACCGUGGAACUGCUUGGUAUACUGGCGGUCUUGAGCCAGCUAGGGGCUACCGGAACAAAUGGUGGAGCGGUGAAAUGCGUAGAUAUCUGGAGGAACACCGGUGGCGAAGGCGGCAUCCUGGACCGAUAUUGACGCUGAUGCGCGAAAGCCAGGGGAGCAAACGGG